rnacentral:rRNA from 1 species
CAGUCGCCACGGGAAUACGAAGGGGGCUAGCGUUGCUCGGAAUUACUGGGCGUAAAGGGCGCGUAGGCGGGUCGUUAAGUUGGGGGUGAAAGCCCAGGGCUCAACCCUGGAACUGCCUUCAAUACUGGCGACCUAGAGUAUGACAGAGGUGUGUGGAACUCCGAGUGUAGAGGUGAAAUUCGUAGAUAUUCGGAAGAACACCAGUGGCGAAGGCGACACACUGGGUCAUUACUGACGCUGAGGCGCGAAAGCGUGGGGAGCAAACAGGAUUAGAUACCCCCGUAGUCCCUGUCUCUUAUAC